rnacentral:rRNA from 1 species
GACGAACGCUGGCGGCGUGCUUAACACAUGCAAGUCGAACGGGUCUGCCCUGUUUUUUGCGGGGUGGGUCAGUGGCGAACGGGUGAGUAACACGUGAGUAACCUGCCCCUCACUUCUGGAUAACCGCUUGAAAGGGUGGCUAAUACGGGGUGUUCUGGCUGUGCCGCAUGGUGUGGCUGGGAAAGAUUCACUUUUGUGGUGUUUUGGUGGGGGAUGGGCUCGCGGCCUAUCAGCUUGUUGGUGGGGUGAUGGCCUGCCAAGGCUUUGACGGGUAGCCGGCCUGAGAGGGUGGGCGGUCACACUGGGACUGAGAUACGGCCCAGACUCCUGCGGGAGGCAGCAGUGGGGGGUAUUGCACAAUGGGCGGAAGCCUGAUGCAGCGACGUCGCGGGAGGGAUGGAGGCCUUCGGGUUGUGAACCUUUUUCGCCGGUGAAGAAGGUCCUGCUCUUUGUGGUGGGGUUGACGGUAGCCGGGUUAUGAAGCGCCGGCUAACUACGUG